rnacentral:rRNA from 1 species
AAAUUGAAGAGUUUGAUCAUGGCUCAGAUUGAACGCUGGCGGCAGGCCUAACACAUGCAAGUCGAACGGUAGCACAGAGAGCUUGCUCUCGGGUGACGAGUGGCGGACGGGUGAGUAAUGUCUGGGAAACUGCCUGAUGGAGGGGGAUAACUACUGGAAACGGUGGCUAAUACCGCAUAACGUCGCAAGACCAAAGAGGGGGACCUUCGGGCCUCUUGCCAUCAGAUGUGCCCAGAUGGGAUUAGCUUGUUGGUGAGGUAACGGCUCACCAAGGCGACGAUCCCUAGCUGGUCUGAGAGGAUGACCAGCCACACUGGAACUGAGACACGGUCCAGACUCCUACGGGAGGCAGCAGUGGGGAAUAUUGCACAAUGGGCGCAAGCCUGAUGCAGCCAUGCCGCGUGUAUGAAGAAGGCCUUCGGGUUGUAAAGUACUUUCAGCGGGGAGGAAGGUGUUGUGGUUAAUAACCACAGCAAUUGACGUUACCCGCAGAAGAAGCACCGGCUAACUCCGUGCCAGCAGCCGCGGUAAUACGGAGGGUGCAAGCGUUAAUCGGAAUUACUGGGCGUAAAGCGCACGCAGGCGGUCUGUCAAGUCGGAUGUGAAAUCCCCGGGCUCAACCUGGGAACUGCAUUCGAAACUGGCAGGCUUGAGUCUUGUAGAGGGGGGUAGAAUUCCAGGUGUAGCGGUGAAAUGCGUAGAGAUCUGGAGGAAUACCGGUGGCGAAGGCGGCCCCCUGGACAAAGACUGACGCUCAGGUGCGAAAGCGUGGGGAGCAAACAGGAUUAGAUACCCGUGGUAGUCCACGCCGUAAACGAUGUCUACUUGGAGGUUGUGCCCUUGAGGCGUGGCUUCCGGAGCUAACGCGUUAAGUAGACCGCCUGGGGAGUACGGCCGCAAGGUUAAAACUCAAAUGAAUUGACGGGGGCCCGCACAAGCGGUGGAGCAUGUGGUUUAAUUCGAUGCAACGCGAAGAACCUUACCUGGUCUUGACAUCCACAGAAGAAUCCAGAGAUGGAUUUGUGCCUUCGGGAACUGUGAGACAGGUGCUGCAUGGCUGUCGUCAGCUCGUGUUGUGAAAUGUUGGGUUAAGUCCCGCAACGAGCGCAACCCUUAUCCUUUGUUGCCAGCGGUUAGGCCGGGAACUCAAAGGAGACUGCCAGUGAUAAACUGGAGGAAGGUGGGGAUGACGUCAAGUCAUCAUGGCCCUUACGACCAGGGCUACACACGUGCUACAAUGGCGCAUACAAAGAGAAGCGACCUCGCGAGAGCAAGCGGACCUCAUAAAGUGCGUCGUAGUCCGGAUUGGAGUCUGCAACUCGACUCCAUGAAGUCGGAAUCGCUAGUAAUCGUGGAUCAGAAUGCCACGGUGAAUACGUUCCCGGGCCUUGUACACACCGCCCGUCACACCAUGGGAGUGGGUUGCAAAAGAAGUAGGUAGCUUAACCUUCGGGAGGGCGCUUACCACUUUGUGAUUCAUGACUGGGGUGAAGUCGUAACAAGGUAACCGUAGGGGAACCUGCGGUUGGAUCACCUCCUUACCUUAAAGAA